rnacentral:rRNA from 2 species
UGGAGAGCGUCUGUUGUACAUCAACACUAGGCACUGCUAACUCCGAUGAGGAGGUACAGUACAUUAUACCUGCCCGGUA